UUAAAUUUGCAAAAACCUGGGUAGGAGUUUUGUUGCCAAAUAAGCCAGACCACUCCUAGAAAUUAGUCUUUAGAGUCUCAUGGGCGAUUGUAUGUAACGUUACAAUCUUCUCUACUUCUUGUGCAUAACAAUAAUGUGUUUCAUGCGAACUAUUUUGUUUAGCGUUUUCACGAGGGAUUCCUACAUUCUAACCUUAAUGUUCUUUAAACAUUUUUUUACAUCUAUCCCACAAUUCUAAAAGUCAAAAUUUUCUUUUAUAUUUCUGGAAACUUUCCUCACUUCAAAAGGUCUACUACUAUUAUUUCAGGUGCUUCAUCUGCAUAAACGCUUUCAUAUAACGAACAAAAUGGUUCCUUUCGAUGAAGUUCUAGCAAUGUAAGAAGCUUUAUGGUUAUUGAAUGAUGAGAGGUACUUAAGUUGAGUUAUUCGAUGAAAAGUAAAAUACGAACUGGGUAAGAUAUCAAAGGAAUCACCACCAGCAAUUGAAGAGUGUAUGGGGUCUAGUUGGAGAUGAUAUAGAACAAGAGUCGUGAAAGAAGAAGGGGAAAGGGAAGAUAGAAAUUAAUAGUAUUCUCUUGGAGCCAAUAUAGGGCAAGAGGAAGUAAUAUGCUGAAUAUAUUAUUAUUGGUGUGUCUCAGUACAGUGCAUCCCAUUUUGGGUGAGACAGCCAGGUUUCUCGCUUGUUAUUUAAGAUAGAGCCUUGCGG